rnacentral:rRNA from 1 species
CGGUAUAUUGACCGUGCGAAGGUAGCAUAAUAAUUUGUCUUUUAAUUGAGGACUAGUAUAAAUGGUCGAACAAAAAGUUAGCUGUCUCUGAGUCAUAUCUUGAAUUUAACAUUUAAGUGAAAAGGCUUAAAUAAUUUAAGGGGACGAUAAGACCCUAUAAAUCUUUAUAUUAAUUAGUUGUUAAAUUAGAAAAUAGAAUUAAUUCGGGGUUUAACAAUUUUAAAUAUUUUGUUGGGGAGACAGAAGUAUAAAUAAAUAACUACUUUAUAUAAAAAGUUAAUGAUAUUUAAUGUAGAGACCCUUUACUAAGGGUUAUAGAACAAGUUACUUUAGGGAUAACAGCGUAAUUUCUUUUGAGAGUCCAUAUCGAAAAAGAAGCUUGCGACCUCGAUGUUGAAUUAAAGAUCCUAUAAUAACGCAGAAG